GUAUCAUCCUUCUUCCUGCUAUCUUUCCCCCACAGGAUGAACUGCUCUUCCUGCCACCAGGAACUGUAUUCUCUGGGAUGACAAGCCAAGCUAUCUGCAGAUAACUUGGAGGAGGCAUACAGAUAUAGUCAACAUGAGUACUCCUUCAGUAGGAAUCCAGAGCCUAGAAGAGGAGGACCACCUACAGAGCACAGGACUCUAGAAGAUCGCCCAUCUCCUGCUUCUGUGUUUGCAGGUUUCCAACUGUCUGAAAGAACUCAGCAUGCACUGUUGUCUUUUGAUGACAAAGAUGAACCAUGUCACUGCUCCAUCUGUGAAAAGAGAUAACAGAUUUCGUAUCUGGCCAGCUUUUUGUGGCUGGUUUACUCAAAGGUGACUCCAGUUUGUGUCAAGAGAACAAAGAGCACAGAGGCUGAGAAGACGGAAUGAAGCAUCAUGCUAACUUUUACCACUUGGUUUUCUCAAUUCAAAAUCCCAAAGCAAGACUCCAGGACCACGUCUAAGACGUCAAGAUAAGCCACAGUGUUGAACAGGAAACCAUUCGAGGAGAGACAGCAAUAGAGAAGCGAAUGAUAAAGCUAUAUCCCACAGCCCGUGGCUCAAGGAUAUCUGACUGAAAUCGAGCGGAUGAUAUUCCUCAAAGAGAGGGCAAGCGCUAUGAAGAGUUCCUGAGGUCAGCGGGAGAAGCCAGAUGGUACCAGGUCUCUUUCUUCCCAGAGCUUGUUUGUCUGAACAUACAAGCGAGCCAAUGAGAUUCCUAAUCAAUUCCCUUCUGAGUUGUUAGCAACAGUCUCCCCUGGAAGACGGCCACUCUAAAGCAUUCUCCUCCACAGUCGUAAUCGUUACCAUCUCAAACACAGCUACACCCCGCAGUGGAAGACACUGGAUUUAUUGAAAAUUGUUGAGCCUGAGAAAUAAAUCCCAGGUAAACCUCUUUAUCCCUGUGAACUCUGCACGGAGCACUGUUAAACCUGUAUAUGCAUGGCUGAAUAUUCUUUGUUUUCAAAAUAAGUGCCCACAAGGAGAGAGGGUUAUAUGUAAUGUAGCCAUUUGAUUUGAUACCAAAUACAAAUAAAUAAAUAAAAUGUUUAAAUAAAUAAAUAAAUAAAUAAAAUGGACGAUGUAAUUAAUUAAA